rnacentral:rRNA from 1 species
UACGGGGGGGGCAAGCGUUGUUCGGAAUUACUGGGCGUAAAGGGCUCGUAGGUGGCCAACUAAGUCAGACGUGAAAUCCCUCAGCUUAACUGGGGAACUGCGUCUGAUACUGGAUGGCUUGAGUUUGGGAGAGGGAUGCGGAAUUCCAGGUGUAGCGGUGAAAUGCGUAGAGAUGUGGAGGAACACCGAUGGCGAAGGCAGCCUCCUGGGCCAAUACUGACGCUCAUGCACGAAAGCGUGGGGAGCAAACAGG